rnacentral:lncRNA from 1 species
GCCUCCCGUUCGUUCCCGUGGCUUCUGGAGUCUUCUAGAUGGUAGAAAAUUGCGCGGCAUGUUAAUAUCUCUAUGUAAACCCGACGUGUGGGCCUUUCUUUCAUAUUUCCUGAUAACCCCCUGCAGAAAUAGACAAACACCAAAACUUGUGGAAUUCUGUCAGAUAAAACCCUAAGUCUAGGUGUUGGUUGCAUUUGGAUCCUUUUCCAUGAUUAGUUAAUGGUUAAAUGUGAGUAUUAAGGACCGUCAACA